rnacentral:rRNA from 1 species
AUCACACUCAAAAACUGGUUCCCAUAUGAUCACCAAAGUUAAGCAAUGUUGAGCCUGGUCUGUACCUAGAUGGGUGACUGCUUGGAAAUACCAGGUGCUGUAA